CAUGCAGGUCGUACGCACAGCAAUGUGAGUGGCGCAAGGGUGAGUAAUACGCAUGUAACCAACCCUGAAGUUGGGCAUAGCCGCGGGAAACUGCGGGUAAUUCCCAGCGACGUUGCGAGAUGGCAUCAUCUUGCAACCAAAGGUGUGAUUCCGCUUUAGGACGGGCCUUCGUGGUAUUAGGUAGUUGGUGAGGUAACGGCUCACCAAGCCUACGAUGCCUACCGGGUGUGAGAGCAUGACCCGGCACACUGGAACUGAGACACUGUCCAGACACCUACGGGUGGCUGCAGUCGAGAAUCUUCGGCAAUGGGCGAAAGCCUGACCGAGCGACGCCGCGUGAGGGAUUGAAGGCCUUCGGGUUGUAAACCUCUUUCGUAGAGGAGGAAGGGGCUGUGAAGAACAGUCCUUGACCUAUUCUAGGAAGAAGCUUGGGCUAAGUUCGUGCCAGCAGCCGCGGUAAGACGAACCAAGCGAACGUUAUUCGGAAUUACUGGGCUUAAAGCGCGUGUAGGCGGACUACCACGCUGGUUGUUGAAAUCCCCCGGCUUAACCGGGGAACUGGCACCAAUACGAGUAGUCUGGAGGUGGGUAGGGGAGACUGGAACUUCCGGUGGAGCGGUGAAAUGCGUUGAGAUCGGAAGGAACGCCCGCGGCGAAAGCGAGUCUCUGGACCCAUACUGACGCUGAGACGCGAAAGCCAGGGGAGCAAACGGGAUUAGAUACCCCGGUAGUCCUGGCUGUAAACAUUGGGCACUGGGUAGUGGAACCGCCGAUGGUUUCACUGCCGCAGGGAAACCGUGAAGUGCCCCGCCUGGGGAGUAUGGUCGCAAGGCUGAAACUCAAAGGAAUUGACGGGGGCUCACACAAGCAGUGGAGUAUGUGGCUUAAUUCGAGGCUACGCGAAAAACCUUACCUAGGCUUGACAUGCAAGGAUU
rnacentral:rRNA from 1 species